rnacentral:rRNA from 1 species
AUUACCUUUGUUGCUUUGGCGGGCCGUCAGAUCUCGGUCAGGCUAUCGGCUCCGGCUGGUAAGCGCCCGCCAGAGGACCCCAAACUCUGAAAUUAGUGUCGUCUGAGUACUAUAUAAUAGUUAAAACUUUCAACAACGGAUCUCUUGGUUCUGGCAUCGAUGAAGAACGCAGCGAAAUGCGAUAAGUAAUGUGAAUUGCAGAAUUCAGUGAAUCAUCGAAUCUUUGAACGCACAUUGCGCCCCUUGGUAUUCCGAGGGGCAUGCCUGUUCGAGCGUCAUUACAACCCUCAAGCACUGCUUGGUAUUGGGCUCCGCUGCUUAUCCAGCGGGCCUUAAAAUUAGUGGCGGUGUCAUUAGGCCCUGAGCGUAGUAAAUAUCCUCGCUAUAGGGACUUGGUGAUUACUGGCCAGCAACCCCCACUUUCUAAGUUUGACCUCGGAUCAGGUAGGGAUACCCGCUGAACUUAA